UCUCUCUCUCUCUAUCAGACCCCAAAUCCCAAAUCCAAACCCCAACUGGCAUAACAACGAGUGAGAAGGAGAAGAUGGACAAAGAAAAUACACACAGAUAGAGAUCUGAGCUAGAAGAAAAGAACGAAGAAAGAGAAGUAACGGUGGAGAGAGAAGACGGCCGAGAGGAGACGGAAGAGACGAACGCACGCGAAGAAGAACACUUCCACCAUUCAAUCAGGUUAAGUUAUGUGUGGAUGCAAAUAUUCCUGUUAUUCCUAUCCCUGGUCCUUUUGCUUUUGUUGCUGCACUUUCUGCCUCAGGGUUGGCUACUGACGAGUUUACAUUUGUUGGAUUUCUGCCCAAACAUGCUGGAUCAAGGAAGGAGAGGUUGAUUGUAUCUGCAAAGGAAGUAGCAACACAGAUAUUCUAUGUUCUUCCUCAUAAGCUUCAUCAAUUUAUUGAAGAGGCUUCUUCUAUUUUUGGUGACUGUAGGUAAAUAUUUGAGGAAGAUCUUUAUCAUAUCUUAGGAUAAUAAUAGGAGUUUUCAUGUCUUUGGGUAUGUGCCACAUCAACAAAAACAAAAAGAAUCUUAAUUUGUGUUUCCUUUCGUAUGAUUUUUUGAGAUAGUCGUAGACCAUUUUUUUUCUUCUGUGUAUAUAAGUUUUAAAGAGUAUAGCAGAAUACAUAUUCAUCAUAUCUUUGAUACAUAUAGUGUAUCAUAGAACAAGCAAAUAGCAGUUCUUUUGAUUAAAUGUAUACUGAUAAUAUUUAUCAGCCAAAUACAUUUUCUUUAAAAUCUUUUUGUUGACUUGAAUACACUUUGAAAAAUAGUAGAGGGACUAGAAAAUUCUUUUUAAUAUAAAAAAUUUAUGUUACAGUAUCUCUGAUAUGAUUUAAGUUUCAUUUUAAAAUGUUUUCAUUGGGUAUUUAUGUCUUGGAUGACUACUAAAUUAGUUACAUAAAAAAUGAGGAUGUGUGUGAACUUAUCAUGUCAGCUUGUUAAGCAUAUGCCAUGGUCUUGCCCUUUCUUGUUCUUAAUCUAGUAAGAGAUGGACAUGUCUAGGUCCAGUCCAGUUUGUUUCAGAGGGCAAGCUUCUUUUUUCUUUGAACAUUGGCAUUACAGUGUUACGUUCUAUGUGUUCUUUAGGCAUUUUGUUUUGUUCUUGUAGUUCUAAGAGAUCACAACUCAGUGCAACACAUGAAGGA